AUUUAUAGAGUUUUUAUAGGACAAUAUUUUGCCCCCCAAAUUCUCUCCGCUGAUAAUGUGAUAUCCAGUUAGCCUUUACAAGCUCCCUAAGGUGCUCCUUACAUACGCGUUGAUUGGAUGCGACUGCAGCGAAGGCCAGUCCCAGAUGUGCGAAGCACCUGGAAAACACACCUCUCAUGUGCUCUUCCUGAAAGAUGUGCUUGAGGACAUGCUGGGGCCAAUGGAGGAAGGAAGGGGAAACCAUGGCGUAAAAGAGAAGAGGUGAUCUGUCACAUGGACUUUGAAGAAAUAUGUGGUGUCACAGAUAUUACUGAAUGAGAGGAAUGAAAAUCAACUCAACAAAGCUC